UUGGCCUCAGCAGCACACAUACUGAAAUUGAAAUAACACAAGGAAUAUUAGGAUGGCACUUGCCCCAGGAUGACGCCAAGAUUCAUGAAGCGUUCUGUAUUUUU